rnacentral:rRNA from 1 species
UACGUAGGGAGCAAGCGUUGUUCGGAUUUACUGGGCGUAAAGGGCUCGUAGGCGGUUUGUCGCGUCGGGGAGUGAAAACACGGGGCUUAACCCCGUGCCUGCUUCCGAUACGGGCAGACUAGAGGUAUGCAGGGGAGAACGGAAUUCCUGGUGUAGCGGUGAAAUGCGUAGAUAUCUGGAGGAACACCGGUGGCGAAGGCGGCAUCCUGGACCGGUAUUGACGCUGAGGCGCGAAAGCUAGGGGAGCAAACGGGG